rnacentral:tRNA from 1 species
UGGUUAAAAGGGGCCCUUCCCCAA